rnacentral:snRNA from 1 species
AUACCUUCUCGGCCUUAUGGCUAAGAUCAAGUGUAGUAUCUGUUCUAAUCAGUGUGAAAACUGAUUUCCUGGGCAAGUCCUGGGUUUCUUUUCACAUUUAUUUCUGAACGAGGGUUGUGGCUGUUCAGCUUGCUGAGCACAGCAGCCUAGGUUUCCCGGGGCUUACACCGCUCCCCGGCGAGGCCGACUACAU